ensembl:snRNA U7 U7 small nuclear RNA
AAGAGUUACUUUUAGAAUUUUUCUAACAGGAUUUCUGACUUGGUCAGAAAAUCCAAU